rnacentral:siRNA from 1 species
GCUUCGGCGCAAGUGAAAUACC